rnacentral:lncRNA from 1 species
AAUUCCUGCUAAAUAGAUUCAACCUCAAACUGGGAGACUAUCUUCACAUCCUCACUGGCUGCUAACCUUAUCAGGGUUCCCUAACCUAGGAAGAAAGCUUGGAUUGGUGUGAGUUUUAGUCGAUUAAGCAAGAAUAGCAGUACUAGCGUGCCAUAAUUAACAUUUUGAAAGUCAUGUUUAAUGCAUACAGUGAAGAACGUUUAUAGUGCAUACAAUACAAUUCUUUUGAAAACCUUUUCAAUAAUAUUACCAAAUCAAUACAGUUCCCAAUUAUGAAUUCGGUACUUAUUUCUUUUCAUUCAUUUACCAAU